UAGGAACUAGGAGCCGGGAGACAGUUUCUCUUGUGUUCUCAAUGUCCCUGCAGCUGCGCCUAGACCACAUGAUGAAGGAGGAGAUGGUAGCCUGUCUCAACUAUAGAGGGGAUUGGUGCCUUACUUUGUAAAUAUCAACAAUGGAAUCUAAUCUAUAGCAGGGUAUACAAAUAUUGGACCAGUCAGAAAGAGGCAAAGCAGCUGCUCUGGCCCAGGCAGUCCCACAACACCACAAAACUCAAGGAGAAAGAGCUCAAAAGAGGAGCAUACCAGCUCAGUGAGGCAGCAGAC